GUUGGUGGAGUGAUUUGUCUGGUUAAUUCCGUUAACGAACGAGACCUCAGCCUACUAUUGUAGUUUAUAGUUUAUUCAUUUUGGAUAGGCUGAACUUCUUAGAGGGACUGUCAGUUUUUAGCUGAUGGAAGUUUGAGGCAAUAACAGGUCU
rnacentral:rRNA from 1 species